GACGAACGCUGGCGGCGUGCCUAACACAUGCAAGUCGAACGGAGUAAAGACUUCGGUUAUUACUUAGUGGCGAACGGGUGAGUAACGCGUGAGGAACCUGCCUUUCAGUGGGGGACAACAGUUGGAAACGACUGCUAAUACCGCAUAACAUUCACGGACCGCAUGAUCUGUGAAUCAAAGCUUAAUGUGCUGAAAGAUGGCCUCGCGUCUGAUUAGCUAGUUGGAGGGGUAACGGCCCACCAAGGCGACGAUCAGUAGCCGGUCUGAGAGGAUGAACGGCCACAUUGGGACUGAGAUACGGCCCAGACUCCUACGGGAGGCAGCAGUGGGGAAUAUUGGGCAAUGGGCGAAAGCCUGACCCAGCAACGCCGCGUGAAGGAAGAAGGCUUUCGGGUCGUAAACUUCUUUUGUCAGGGAAGAGUAGAAGACGGUACCUGACGAAUAAGCCACGGCUAACUACGUG
rnacentral:rRNA from 1 species